UCGAAUGAGGCAAGACUACCCGCUGAACUUAAGCAUAUCACUAAGCGGAGGAGAAGAAACUAACCAGGAUGCCCUCAGUAAUGGCGAAUGAAGCGGGCGUAGCUCACGCUGCCAAUCCGGAGGCCUUUGCGCCCCCUGAAUUGUGGUCUAGAGAGGCGCCUUCGGGCGCGCGCGCCGCUCAAGUCCCUUGGAAGAGGGUAUCGGAGAGGGUGAGAAUCCCGUACCGUGGCCGCGCGCGCCCUCACGAUGCGUGCUCGUCGAGUCGGGUUGCUUGGGAUUGCAGCUUGAAGUGGGUGGUAAAUUCCAUCUAAAGCUAAAUAU
rnacentral:rRNA from 1 species